GAUUAAUUUGCUUCUUUGGUGUUAUACAUUUAUAUCUUAAAUAUGCAUUUCAAAGGCAGCUUUUUGUUUUUAUCAGCAGUGGUUUUGGUUGUGCUGUCAACAUCUACAGGCGUUAAUGGAGAGCAAGAUAAAGAACUACCCAGAGGAGGAGAUUACAUUGAACCUAGUCAACCUAAUACCCAGUCACCUUCAC